rnacentral:rRNA from 1 species
GACGAACCGUGCGAACGUUAUUCGGAAUCACUGGGCUUAAAGCGCGUGUAGGCGGGACGGCACGUCGGUCGCUGAAAGCCCCCGGCUCAACCGGGGAACGGGCGCCGAUACGACCGCCCUGGAGGAACGUAGGGGGACCUGGAACUUCCGGUGGAGCGGUGAAAUGCGUUGAGAUCGGAAGGAACGCCCGUGGCGAAGGCGGGUCUCUGGGCCGAAACUGACGCUGAGGAGCGAAAGCGUGGGGAGCAAACAGG